rnacentral:rRNA from 1 species
UACAGAGGGUGCAAGCGUUGCUCGGAAUCAUUGGGCGUAAAGGGUAGGUAGGUGGUCUCGUUUGUCUGGGGUGAAAGCCCAGGGCUUAACCCUGGAAGUGCCCCGGAAACGGCGAGACUAGAGUCCUGGAGAGGGUCGUGGAAUUCCCGGUGUAGAGGUGAAAUUCGUAGAUAUCGGGAGGAACACCAGUGGCGAAGGCGGCUCUCUGGGCAGAUACUGACGCUGAGACGCGAAAGCAUGGGGAGCAAACAGG